UGGGGAAUUUUGGACAAUGGGCGAAAGCCUGAUCCAGCAAUGCCGCGUGUGUGAAGAAGGCCUUCGGGUUGUAAAGCACUUUUGUCCGGAAAGAAAUCCUUGGCUCUAAUACAGUCGGGGGAUGACGGUACCGGAAGAAUAAGCACCGGCUAACUACGUGCCAGCAGCCGCGGUAAUACGUAGGGUGCAAGCGUUAAUCGGAAUUACUGGGCGUAAAGCGUGCGCAGGCGGUUUGCUAAGACCGAUGUGAAAUCCCCGGGCUCAACCUGGGAACUGCAUUGGUGACUGGCAGGCUAGAGUAUGGCAGAGGGGGGUAGAAUUCCACGUGUAGCAGUGAAAUGCGUAGAGAUGUGGAGGAAUACCGAUGGCGAAGGUAGCCCCCUGGGCCAAUACUGACGCUCAUGCACGAAAAGCGUGGGGGAGCAAAACAGGAUUAGAUACCCUGGUAGUCCACGCCCUAAACGAUGUCAACUAGUUGUUGGGGAUUCAUUUCCUUAGUAACGUAGCUAACGCGUGAAGUUGACCGCCUGGGGAGUACGGUCGCAAGAUUAAAACUCAAAUGAAUUGACGGGGUCAUAGCUGUUUCCU
rnacentral:rRNA from 1 species